UUUGUAUAAUGGGUCAGCGACUUAUAUUCGGUAGCAAGGUUAACCGUAUAGGGGAGCCGCAGGGAAACCGAGUCUUAACUGGGCGUUAAGUUGCAGGGUAUAGACCCGAAACCCGGUGAUCUAGCCAUGGGCAGGUUGAAGGUUGGGUAACACUAACUGGAGGACCGAACCGACUAAUGUUGAAAAAUUAGCGGAUGACUUGUGGCUGGGGGUGAAAGGCCAAUCAAACCGGGAGAUAGCUGGUUCUCCCCGAAAGCUA
rnacentral:rRNA from 1 species